AUUCCCUCUCACAGCAGAUUCUCAGAGUGCGAAGAGGCCGUGAAGCCAAGUGCCAGACAAAACUCUCCGAGGGACCCUUACAGCUCGCCCUGCUCUACAGAAAAGAGUGCCCGCUUCCUUUCAGAAAGCGAAGGAAUUUUUCAUGCUUGGUGUCUGCUUAAGACAGUGCAAAGCAACUUGAGACCAAAGUCACUUCACCUCCACCCUGAGCUAAAGAGACAGACGGACGCUACGAGCUCAGUGUGUGCUGUGAAGAACAGAACAGAGGCUGGAGAGAGGGGGAAGUGGUUAAGAGACUGAGGGGCUUACAGAACACGCACAUGCUCACUCUCUCUCUCUCUCACACACAGGCACACACACGCAUAAGCAUGCACGAGUGCGCACACACACAGAUCUUAAUACAACACCAUGAAGAUCUCGCAGAUGGCCUCGCAGAUGAGCCACACUGAGGAAAGCCACCCUGCUCCCCAGCCUCGUGGGCUGAACUAGUUCAGGUUACCUUGGUGACUCAAAACAGGCUUCUCUAGCCUAGCACGGCUCCUCUGAGAGGCUCUACCAGCAGCUGACUGAGACAGAUGCAGAUACUCACAGCCCAGCACUGGACUAAGGGCCCUGGAGAUGAAACUCGGGUCGUCGGGGUUGAUGGCAAGUGCCUUUACCCACAGAGCCAGCUACUGUUGGCUGGGCUCACGGGUGUGGAACCCAUGGAAACAGAGGGCCAGCUCCAAGGACUGAAGCUAUGUCAUGCCAACAACCCAACAUUGUGUUAAGUGGUGGGUAAGGGGCUCCACACCUGUAGGCUCCGACUUCCCCAGUGGUUCAGAAUCCUCCCCUAUGGCUACAUCACCUAAUGCUCUAUCUGCCAAACUUCCCCAAACUCAGACAAAAAUCUAGAAACUUCAAGUACUGUCUCUUGAAUCCACUGGAAUGUACCCCAUAAUGUAGCAUUGUGACCAGUCUUUAUAACUCAACUAAAAUAUGCUUUUAUCUGCAAGGCUUUAAAUUUGAUUUGAAUGAAAGGCAGAGG